rnacentral:rRNA from 1 species
UUUGCCUACGGGGCGCAGCAGUGGGGAAUAUUGCACAAUGGGGGAAACCCUGAUGCAGCGACGCCGCGUGAGUGAAGAAGUAUUUCGGUAUGUAAAGCUCUAUCAGCAGGGAAGAAAAAAGACGGUACCUGACUAAGAAGACCCGGCUAACUACGUGCCAGCAGCAGCGGUAAUACGUAGGGGGCAAGCGUUAUCAGGAUUUACUGGGUGUAAAGGGAGCGUAGACGGCGCGGCAAGACUGAAGUGAAAGGCAGGGGCUUAACCACUGAACUGCUUUGGAAAAUGCCAUGCUAGAGUGCUGGAGG